UAUGUUUUUAUAAAAAAAAAUGUUGCCAAAAAUGUUGAACCUGAAUCUCAUUAAGCCAUUAGAACAAACUUCCAGUUUACAGGAAAGACUAUGGUCAGAAGGACAAAUUAAAAACACUGUGAAGAAGCAAUCAGCCAAGUCUAGAAUGUGGGACAUCCAACAGGACAGCUAACACAAUGUCAACAGUAAUUUAUCUUCCCUCACAUGGGUGCAAGGUUUUCUGCUGAAAGAAAAGGAGCAGCAGGGGCAGGGUGCUUGAGGAGAGGGCGAAUCUACUAACUGGGCACUUUCUGGUACAUCCUCUUGCCUCCUGAGUAGCAUUAUGAGGAUAUCUAUACCAUUUUUUCAAUGUGUACACCAUCUCAAACAUAGGACUUGGAAAGUAAAACCACUGUCGUUCUACUUGAGAUUUAUUUGGUCCUCCAAUCUAGUUAUGAUGCACCUUAGGACACUGAGUCUGGAAUUUCUGCACCUCUU